UGCCUACGGGGGGCAGCAGUGGGGGAUAUUGCACAAUGGGGGGAACCCUGAUGCAGCGACGCCGCGUGGGUGAAGGAGCGUGUCGGCGCGUAAAGCCCUAUCGGCAGGGAAGAAGGAGGACGGUACCUGACUAAGAAGCCCCGGCUAACUACGUGCCAGCAGCCGCGGCAAUACGUUGGGGGCCAGCGUUAUCCGGCUUUACUGGGUGUAAAGGGGGCGCCGACGGCAGCGCAAGCCAGGAGUGCAAGCCCGGGGCCCAACCCCGGGACUGCUCUUGGAACUGCGCGGCUGGGGUG
rnacentral:rRNA from 1 species